rnacentral:rRNA from 1 species
UACGUAGGGGGCAAGCGUUGUCCGGAUUUAUUGGGCGUAAAGAGCGUGUAGGCGGCCAGACAGGUCCGUUGUGAAAACUCGAGGCUCAACCUCGAGAUGUCGAUGGAAACCGUCUGGCUAGAGUCCGGAAGAGGAGUGUGGAAUUCCUGGUGUAGCGGUGAAAUGCGCAGAUAUCAGGAGGAACACCCAUGGCGAAGGCAGCUCUCUGGUCGACCUCUGACGCUGAGACGCGAAAGCGUGGGGAGCGAACGGG